UCGCCUGUUUAUCAAAAACAUUGCUUCAUGAAAAUUAAUAUGAGGUUUACUCUGCCCGGUGACUUGCGAGUUAAACGGCCGCGGUAUCCUGACUGUGCUAAGGUAGCGUGAUAAUUCGCCCUUUAAUUGUGGGCUUGUACGAAUGGGUUAACGAGGGUUAAGCUGUCUCCUUUUUGUAUAUGAAAAUUAAUUUUUAGGUGAAAAGGCCUGAAUAAAAUUACAGGACAAAAAGACCCCAUAGAGCUUUGUUUCUAAUAUUUUAUAAAAUAACCUAUGGUAUAUUUUAUUUUAUUUUAUGAAACUUAACUGGGGCGGUUGAGGAAAAUUUUUAUCUUCCUUUUUUAAGUUCACUUAUUAAGUUUAAUUUUUUGAUCCUAAAAUAGAUAAAAGAAAAGCUACCUUGGGGGUAACAGACUAAUUUUUUUUGAGAGUUCGUAUUGACAAGAAAGUUUGGCACAUCGAUGUUGGCUUAGGGUAACCUUUAGGUAGCAGCUGCUUAUUGAGGUGGGUUUGUUCAACCUUUAAAUCCCUACGUGAUCUGAGUUCAGACCGGA
rnacentral:rRNA from 1 species